rnacentral:rRNA from 1 species
UACGUAGGGUGCGAGCGUUAAUCGGAAUUACUGGGCGUAAAGCGUGCGCAGGCGGUUUUGUAAGCCCGAUGUGAAAUCCCCGGGCUUAACCUGGGAAUGGCAUUUGGGACUGCAAGGCUUGAGUGCGGCAGAGGAGACUGGAAUUCCUGGUGUAGCAGUGAAAUGCGUAGAUAUCAGGAGGAACACCGAUGGCGAAGGCAGGUCUCUGGGCUGACACUGACGCUCAUGCACGAAAGCGUGGGGAGCGAACAGG